CUAACUACUACACCAGCACCACUUACUACACCAGCACCUAUAACUACAGCAGCACCUACUACUACAUUAGCACCCACUACUACACCAGCACCUACUACUACACCCGCACUAACUACUACACCAGCACCAACGACUACACCAGCACUAACCACUACACCAGCACCCACCACCCCAGCACUAACUACUACAGCUCCACUAACUACUACACCAACACUAACUACUACAGCAGCACUCACUAC